rnacentral:tRNA from 1 species
GGUGCAACUCCAAAUAAAAGUA